rnacentral:rRNA from 1 species
AUGGCCACCAAGUCCCAAAAGAAGAAGAAGCUCUCCGCCCCCAACCCCUCUAUCGACGCCAAGAAGCCCAAACCUCCGAAACCCGUCGAGGAGCGAGAGACGGCGGUGGCGGCAGCCAAGAAGCCGAAGCCGAAGCCGAAGCCGAAGGAGCAGAAGGAGGGCAAGGAGGUCUCUGCCAAGAAGACGAAGAAGCAGAAGGAGAGCAACGAGAUUGACGAGAUCUUCGAGGCCACCAAGUCCGACAAGAAGCGCAAGCUGCAGGAGGAGGAGGAGGAGGAGGAGGGGUCCAAGAAGCCCAAGAAGGGCAAGGCCGAGGGGUCUAGCAAGAAGAAGAGCAAGAAGGAGACCAGAGGUAAUGGCUGGGAGCCUGGCCAAGAUGAUGAGGUUGAGGAGAAGCGGCCGCGGCGGCGCACCAAUGACGGGCUCACCAUCUACUCCGCCGACGAGCUCGGGUUUGGCAAGGCUGACGCCGGCGGCACCGCCCUCUGCCCCUUCGACUGCGACUGCUGCUUCUGA